CAUGUGUUCUCAUAGUGAUUAUCAAGUCGCAUUAAUCGAAAGUUGAGAAAUGAGUGAACUUUACAUGCGGCUAAUAAAAGCAUGUUCAACUAACGAGCAUUCAUUUUUUAAUUAAUCGCGAAAAUAAAUGGCACGAUUUUCAUAGUAAAGCUGUACUUUACAUUUUACAUUUUGUCAAUCACUUUAUAGACGCAAAGUCGAAACAUGGGAAUAACAUUUGAGAUUUCUCAACGUAACGACAUCGAUCGAACGUCAUGCAACCUAAUGCUUCUAGAUCUUUUCUUACGGAACAUUGUAAAGGGUAGAAUCUAUGCGAAAAAUCAAUACUUGAUCAGAUAAACUUUACCCCCUUUCAUGCUCGAUAAUAUGUACAUCGUACUUUUUAAAGUUAUUAAUUGACUAUUAAUUAACUAAAUUACUUUUGUAUUUAUUUCCGAUAAAACUAACCUCUCAAA